rnacentral:tRNA from 2 species
CCUGUAGCUCAGCUGGAUAGAGCAACGGCCUUCUAAGCCGUGGGUCGGGGGUUCGAAUCCCUUCGGG